CCUACGGGAGGCAGCAGUGGGGAAUCUUGCGCAAUGGGCGAAAGCCUGACGCAGCAACGCCGCGUGCGGGAAGAAGGCUUUCGGGCUGUAAACCGCUUUCAGCAGGAACGAAAAUGACGGUACCUGCAGAAGAAGGAGCGGCCAACUAUGUGCCAGCAGCCGCGGUGAUACAUAGGCUUCAAGCGUUGUCCGGAUUUAUUGGGCGUAAAGAGUUCGUAGGCGGUCGAGUAAGUCGGGUGUGAAAAUUCUGGGCUCAACCCAGAGACGCCACCCGAUACUGCUUAACUUGAGUUCGAUAGGGGAGUGGGGAAUUCCUAGUGUAGCGGUGAAAUGCGCAGAUAUUAGGAGGAACACCGGUGGCGAAGGCGCCACUCUGGAUCGAUACUGACGCUGAGGAACGAAAGCAUGGGUAGCAAACAGGAUUAGAUACCCUGGUAGUCCAUGCCGUAAACGGUGGGCACUAGGUGUGGGAUUCUAUUAACGAAUUCCGCGCCGUCGCUAACGCAUUAAGUGCCCCGCCUGGGGAGUACGGUCGCAAGACUAAAACUCAAAGAUAGUGCGNGNGAGAGCGACGACGACGACGAGGAGGAGAG
rnacentral:rRNA from 1 species